rnacentral:rRNA from 1 species
CCCUUAGAUGUCCUGGGCUGCCCGCGCGCUACACUGAUGUGUCCAGUAAGCACCUAACCUAUUCCGAGAGGAGCGGGUAACCUUAGCAAAGCACAUCGUGAUGGGGAUAGAUUAUUGCAAUUAUUAGUCUUGAACGAGGAAUUCCUAGUAAGCACAAGUCAUCAGCUUGUGUUGAUUACGUCCCUGCCCUUUGUACACACCGCCCGUCGCUCCUACCGAUUGAAUGUUCCGGUGAGCUCUUCGGACUGCGCGGUCUGCAGUUUCUGCGUUCCGUGCGGAAAGUUGUGCAAACCUUAACAUUUAGAGGAAGGAGAAGUCGUAACA